UGAGGAAUAUUGGACAAUGGACGAAAGUCUGAUCCAGCUAUGCCGCGUGCAGGAUGACGGCCCUAUGGGUUGUAAACUUCCUUUAUACAGGAAGAAACCUUUCCACGUGUGGAAAGCUGACGGUACUAUAAGAAUAAGGAUCGGCUAACUCCGUGCCAGCAGCCGCGGUAAUACGGAGGAUCCAAGCGUUAUCCGGAAUCAUUGGGUUUAAAGGGUCCGUAGGUGGACAAAUAAGUCAGAGGUGAAAUCCUGCAGCUCAACUGUAGAACUGCCUUUGAUACUGUUUGUCUUGAGUUAUUAUGAAGUGGUUAGAAUGUGUAGUGUAGCGGUGAAAUGCAUAGAUAUUACACAGAAUACCGAUUGCGAAGGCAGAUCACUAAUAAUUAACUGACACUGAUGGACGAAAGCGUGGGUAGCGAACAGGAUUAGAUACCCUGGUAGUCCACGCCGUAAACGAUGGUCACUAGCUGUUUGGACUUCGGUCUGAGUGGCUAAGCGAAAGUGAUAAGUGACCCACCUGGGGAGUACGUUCGCAAGAAUGAAACUCAAAGGAAUUGACGGGGGCCCGCACAAGCGGUGGAGCAUGUGGUUUAAUUCGAUGGUACGCGAGGAACCUUACC
rnacentral:rRNA from 1 species